UUUCCUGGGAGGAGUCACUCUGACCCACCACGCCCUUUUAUCAAACUUCUGCACUUACUGAAAUCUGUAGUUAUUCUUUUCCUUCCUCUUAAGAAAACUGGGGUAUUUCCUGCAUUUCUUUCUUAUUUCUAUCUCUGUGAGGGCAGUAAAUGCAUCUUCUUGAUCACUGCUGUGUCCCCAAGCCCAGGGUGGUGCUUGCCGUGUAACAGCUGGAGUAGUCAGAUACACAGAAGGAGGGCAUGGAAUGGUGGUUGCCAUGAUCCAGGGGAGCAAGAAACGAAGAAUCCCUGUUCAGGGGGUAUGACGUUUCACCCAGAAACAAGACCCAAGAGGGCAGGAAAUUCUGUUGCAUCCUUUGGUGAGGACAGCGCCUGGUCCAGAGCAGAGAGGAGCUGGAGCCGGCUUACGAGCUAUGGAGACUGAGAAGUCUCAUGAGCUACUGUCUGAAGUUGGACACCAACUCAGGGAAGCUGGCGGUGCAACUCCAGUCCAAGGGCAGGAGGAGACCCAGAGCCCAGCUCAAGGGGUCAGCAGAGCGGACUCUCCCUUCUUCUACCUUUUUGUUCUAUCCCAGCCUCGGUGGAUUGGGUGAUGCCCACCCACGUUGAAGAGGGAAAUCGUAGUCCAUGGACUCAAAUGUCAGUAUCUUCCAGAAGCAUCCUCCCAGACUCACCCAGAAUAACGUUUAACUAGAUAGCAGGCCAUCUUCAGGUCCAGCCAGGUCGAUACAGAAAAUUCACCAUCACGAGGCCCUUCUGGCCAUGGGGUCCUGCAUGUGUCUGCACGGGUCUCCUGUGUGAGGCUGGCCCAGCUGCUGGUGCCAGUCACUGCCGCUCCUCUGGAGGGUUUAUCUGAUUUGGCUUGUAUGAAACCCUUCCAUAGGCUGCGACAAGGACAAACCCAUCCACCUUGUGCUGGAAGACCUUAGACAAAAGCCUUGCACACUCGAGGCUCAUCUUCCUUCUCACCUGCGUGACGGGGGUACUGACAGUACUUAAUCAGCCGUGGGGAUUACAUGCACGAGUGGCGGGGCCUCUCUGAGUCUGCUUCCUCACCUUGAGAACAUUCUUUGUUGUUAGGACCAUUUAAAUCAGACAAUACCUGUAAAAUAUCUGG